GCCCAGACCUCAGAGUGCUCUGCUCCACCAUGGAUGGGGUCAUCUGGCAGCUGAUGGCUCAGGGACAGGUUCACUUGGACCCAUAAUGGGACAGCCAAGGCUCCUGCUAUGCCCACAGAAGUUACACUUGCUCAGCUGUGGAUGUCCUUUGAGCCAGGUAAAGGUGACAUGGGAGGAGCAAAGGUCUGUCCCAUCUGGAAAAAGGAAAUCCAAACACAGAAUUAUCCCUAAAUACAAGAACUUGCCCCCCUCCAGAAGCAGAGGACCAUGUGGGAGGAGCUGGGGCUUCCUGCAGUGGUGACCCAAAAUCUCAUUUACUUACCCAAUAUCCAUGUGAGAGCUGUGACUGAGAAAAGAACCAGAGUCUUCUAGAGCUCAGCUGUGUCACUCACCCUGAAUCCCUAAGCAGCACUGGAUUUAAGGCA